ACAUCCCGGAGACCCUUAGGAAACUAGGGGUGCUUCCAUCUGGAAGAAUCUGGAGACAGGUGCUGCAUGGCUGUCGUCAGCUCGUGUCGUGAGAUGUUGGGUUAAGUCCCGCAACGAGCGCAACCCUUGCCUUUAGUUGCCAGCAGUUCGGCUGGGCACUCUAAAGGGACUGCCGGUGUUAAACCGGAGGAAGGUGGGGAUGACGUCAAGUCCUCAUGGCCUUUAUGACCAGGGCUACACACGUACUACAAUGGCCGAUACAAAGGGCAGCGACACUGCGAGGUGAAGCCAAUCCCGUAAAAUCGGUCUCAGUCCGGAUUGGAGUCUGCAACUCGACUCCAUGAAGUUGGAGUCGCUAGUAAUCGUGGAUCAGCAUGCCACGGUGAAUACGUUCCCGGGCCUU
rnacentral:rRNA from 1 species